ACGGAGGCAGCAGUGGGGAAUAUUGGACAAUGGGGGAAACCCUGAUCCAGCGACGCCGCGUGAGUGAAGAAGUAUUUCGGUAUGUAAAGCUCUAUCAGCAAGGAAGAAAAUGACGGUACUUGACUAAGAAGCUCCGGCUAAAUACGUGCCAGCAGCCGCGGUAAUACGUAGGGGGCAAGCGUUAUCCGGAUUUACUGGGUGUAAAGGGAGCGUAGACGGCAAGGCAAGUCUGAUGUGAAAUCCCGGGGCUCAACCCCGGUGCUGCAUUGGAAACUGUCUAGCUAGAGUGCAGGAGAGGUAAGUGGAAUUCCUAGUGUAGCGGUGAAAUGCGUAGAUAUUAGGAGGAACACCAGUGGCGAAGGCGGCUUACUGGACUGUAACUGACGUUGAGGCUCGAAAGCGUGGGGAGCAAACAGGAUUAGAUACCCUGGUA
rnacentral:rRNA from 1 species